rnacentral:rRNA from 1 species
GACGAACGCUGGCGGCGUGCUUAACACAUGCAAGUCGAACGGAAAGGCCCUGCUUGCAGGGUACUCGAGUGGCGAACGGGUGAGUAACACGUGGGUGAUCUGCCCUGCACUUCGGGAUAAGCCUGGGAAACUGGGUCUAAUACCGGAUAGGAGCCAUUUUUAGUGUGAUGGUUGGAAAGUUUUUUCGGUGUAGGAUGAGCUCGCGGCCUAUCAGCUUGUUGGUGGGGUAAUGGCCUACCAAGGCGGCGACGGGUAGCCGGCCUGUGAGGGUGGACGGCCACAUUGGGACUGAGAUACGGCCCAGACUCCUACGGGAGGCAGCAGUGGGGAAUAUUGCACAAUGGGCGCAAGCCUGAUGCAGCGACGCCGCGUGGGGGAUGACGGCCUUCGGGUUGUAAACUCCUUUCGCUAGGGACGAAGCUUUUUGUGACGGUACCUAGAGAAGAAGCACCGGCUAACUACGUG